rnacentral:RNase_P_RNA from 1 species
AGAGUGGGCCAGGUGGCCGCUGAAGAGCUAUUGCUCUUGAGAGGAAAGUCCGAGCUCCACAAGGACACGGUGGUGGAUAACGUCCACCGGGGGCAACCCCAGGGAAAGUGCCACAGAAAAGACACAGCCCAAGUUCGCCUAGGCGAACCGGCAAUGGUGAAAAGGCGAGGUAAGAGCUCACCGCAUUUGCCGUGAGGCAGAUGGCAAGGUAAACCCCACCGGGAGCAAGGUCGAAUAAGGGGCCAGCAUGCCAGGGAGCUUAGCUUCAUGGCCCAGCACGGCGUGGUCCAUGCCGUUAUGAGUCCCGGGUAGACCGCAUGAGUCGCACCCGUAAGGGUCGGCCUAGAUAAAUGGUCGCCAUCCACCCUCGGGUGGAAACAAAACUCGGCUUAUGGCCCACUCUCUUA